UGGCGAACGGGUGAGUAACACGUGGGUGAUCUGCCUUGCACUCUGGGAUAAGCUUGGGAAACUGGGUCUAAUACCGGAUAGGAACCGUCUUUAGUGUGGUGGUUGGAAAGUUUUUUCGGUGCAAGAUGAGCUCGCGGCCUAUCAGCUUGUCGGUGGGGUAAUGGCCUACCAAGGCGUCGACGGGUAGCCGGCCUGAGAGGGCGACCGGCCACACUGGGACUGAGACACGGCCCAG
rnacentral:rRNA from 1 species